GACGAACGCUGGCGGCGUGCUUAACACAUGCAAGUCGAACGGAAAGGCCCUGCUUUUGUGGGGUGCUCGAGUGGCGAACGGGUGAGUAACACGUGAGUAACCUGCCCUUGACUUUGGGAUAACUUCAGGAAACUGGGGCUCAUACCGGAUAGGAGCUCCUGCUGCAUGGUGGGGGUUGGAAAGUUUCGGCGGUUGGGGAUGGACUCGCGGCUUAUCAGCUUGUUGGUGGGGUAGUGGCUUACCAAGGGUUUGACGGGUAGCCGGCCUGAGAGGGUGACCGGCGACAAUGGGACUGAGAUACGGCCCAGACGCCUACGGGAGGCAGCAGGGGGGAAUAUUGCGCAAUGGGGGGAAGCCUGAUGCAGCAACGCCGCGUGCGGGAUGACGGCCUUCGGGUUGUAAACCGCUUUCGCCGGUGACGAAGCGUGAGUGACGGUAAUGGGUAAAGAAGCACCGGCUAACUACGUG
rnacentral:rRNA from 1 species